GGCUGCUAUUGGAGUAGAUAAUGCUGGUCAUUUGCAGAAUAUCACACUGAGAAGGGGUUCUCCUAUGGAAGGAGUAUCGUGUUUUAAUACACGCUGACAAGAAUCACAAACACAUUGACUGAAAACUAUCAUCAAUUUCAAGAAUUGAAGUAACAGGUUAUUAAUGUGACUUAAAGUACAUGACUACAUGAUGAAUACCAGCAGAGAUGAAAGCUAAGAGUAGCAACGAACAUAUGUUUGAAAGAUGGUCCAAGUAAUCACUACAGCACCUACUCACACAAGGACUUGAAGCAAUAAACAUCAAGAAAUGAGGCGGAGACAAUUUUAGGAGUGAGUGAUGACUGUGAAGAAACUAUUAAGAUAGUUCUACGGAUGUGUAAAGAAUGGUGGUUGCAGGGCAGGAGGGUACAACCUAUCAUUUAUCUAGAUCUACUGAUUGAGGA